rnacentral:rRNA from 1 species
AAUGGGGGAAACCCUGACGCAGCGACGCCGCGUGAGCGAAGAAGGCCUUAGGGUUGUAAAGCUCUGUUUUAAGGGACGAAUGUCGAGGGUAAUAAUACGAUCCUCGAAUGACGGUACCUUAAGAGGAAGCCCCGGCUAACUACGUGCCAGCAGCCGCGGUAAGACGUAGGGGGCGAGCGUUGUCCGGAAUUACUGGGCGUAAAGAGCACGUAGGCGGGACUUUAAGUCAGGUGUGAAAUACCGGGGCCUAACCCCGGGGCUGCACCUGAAACUGGAGUUCUUGAGGGUAGGAGAGGGCAGUAGAAUUCCUGGUGUAGCGGUGAAAUGCGUAGAAAUCAGGAGGAAUACCAGUGGCGAAGGCGACUGUCUGGACUGACCCUGACGCUGAGGUGCGAAAGCGUGGGUAGCAAA